rnacentral:lncRNA from 1 species
AUUAAGUGGGCUAGAAGAAUUAGUAAUUUUGUAGAGUUUUGUUAAGUAGUUUUUAGAUAUGAAUCAAUUGUGUGUUUGUGAGGAUGCUGCAUAGAUAAGAGUGGGGCUAUGUAGAAUAGAUAUUUGUUUGUUUUUAUAAGAUAUUGGUAAAAUAUAUUAAUAGUCUAUAGAAUAGUCAGUUUAGAAGGACGGAUGAUUGAUUCAGUUAUUAAAAAUGAUUAUUAUAGGAUUACAGUUAGAAUCUGGAAAUCAGUAGCAAUUAUAUGGGAGUUGUAGAAGUUUGUUGGAAGGCCUGACUGUGAUAGUCAUGAAUCGGGAUUAAGCUUGGUGCUUCUUCUUUGUUUUUUUUUUUGUUUUGUUUUCUUUGUUGUUGAAGAGUAAUGGAUCAUUUUUGAAUACUAAGAAGUGAGUGUGUGGAAUAAAUCAGAGAUUGAUUUAUGAAUUAUUGAUUAUGUAAUUGGAGUACUUAGUAAUUGAAUUAUAUGAGAAGUUAUUGGAAGAUUGAUUAUGGAUGGAAGAUUAUGAUUGUUGUUUAUUAAGAGUUGUGUGUGUGUGUUUUGACAAAAGAAGUCUAUGAUUACAAGAAUUUUGUGAAUUUAGAUUGGUUGGAGUUAAGUUUGUUAUUUCUGAUGUUGGAUGGAAUUUAUUGAGUUUUGAACGGUCUUUUGAGAGUGUGGGGUUGCACAUUGUGGUUAUCAAUUGAUGAAGGAGUAUUAUUAAUGGGAGGAAGCAUUGUAGUAU